rnacentral:rRNA from 1 species
AUAACACAUUCAAGUCGAACGGUGACGNGGGACUUCGGUCCUCUGAUCAGUGGCGGACGGGUGAGUAACGCGUGAGCAACCUGCCUCAUACCCCGGGAUAACAGUUGGAAACGGCUGCUAAUACCGGAUGAAAUAUUUUGGAUUGCAUGGUUUGAAUAUCAAAGUCUACGGUGGUAUGAGAUGGGGCUCGCGUAUGAUUAGAUAGUUGGCAGGGUAACGGCCUACCAAGUCUACGAUCAUUAGCCGAACUGAGAGGUUGAACGGCCACAUUGGAACUGAGAAACGGUCCAGACUCCUACGGGAGGCAGCAGUGGGGAAUAUUGGGCAAUGGGCGAAAGCCUGACCCAGCGACGCCGCGUGAGGGAAGACGGUCUUCGGAUUGUAAACCUCUUUCAGCAGGGAAGAAGCAAGUGACGGUUACCUGCAGAAGAAGUCACGGCUAACUACGUG